rnacentral:tRNA from 1 species
AUUUUCUUAGUAUAAUUAGUACUAGUGACUUCCAAUCACUAAGUCUUGGAUAACAACCAGGAGAAAAUA